GACGAACGCUGGCGGCGUGCUUAACACAUGCAAGUCGAACGGAAAGGCCCUGCCUUUGUGGGGUGCCCGAAUGGCGAACGGGUGCGUAACACGUGAGUAACCUGCCCUUGACUUUGGGAUAACUUCAGGAAACUGGGGCUAAUACCGGACAGUAGCUCCUGCUGCAUGGUGGGGGUUGGACAGUUUCGGCGGUUUGGAUUGGGCUCGCGGCUUGUCAGCUUGUUGGUCGAGCAGUGGGUUACCAAGGCUUCGAUGGGUAGCCGGCCUGAGGGGGUGAGCGACCACAUUGGGAGUGAGAGACGCGCAACACGCCAACAGAAGGCAGCAGUGAGGAAUGUUGGACAAUAGGAGGAAGACUGGUGUAGCAACGCCGCGUGGGGGAUGAGCGCCUACGACUUAUAAGCCAAUUUCGCCGGUGAUGAAUCGUGAGUGGCAGUAAUAGGUAGAGAAGCACCGGCUAACUACGUG
rnacentral:rRNA from 1 species